rnacentral:rRNA from 1 species
UACGUAGGAGGCGAACGUUAUCCGGAUUUACUGGGCGUAAAGCGCGCGCAGGCGGUGCCGCAAGUUGGGCGUGAAAUCUCCCGGCUCAACCGGGAUACGUCGUUCAAUACUGCGGCACUCGAGGGCAGGAGAGGGAAGCGGAAUUCCCGGUGGAGUAGUGAAAUGCGCAGAUAUCGGGAGGAACACCAGUGGCGAAGGCGGCUUCCUGGACUGUUCCUGACGCUCAGGCGCGAAAGCCAGGGGAGCGAACCGA